GAAAACAAUCCCUGCAGAAAAAUCCUGAUACUGCAGGGAUUGUUUUCGGGAGCCUCCGAAGAGACUCCCUCAUGGGAGAGGAGAAACCGGACGAAGAGCUUAUGGGGAAACGUAAGUCUUCUCCGCG
rnacentral:ncRNA from 1 species